GCAUUGGUGGUUCAGUGGUAGAAUUCUAGCUUGCCAUGUUGGAGACCUGGGUUGCGAUUCCCAGCCAAUGCC